GAACUUUUCCAGGGAAGGAUCAGUCUGAGUGGAUCCCAGGAACUUUUCCAGGGAAGGGUUGUCUGAGUGGAUUCCAAGAACUUUUCCAGUGAAGGGUUGGUAUGGAGAGAUCCCAGAGCUCUUCCAGUGGAGGAUCGGUCUGAGUGGAUCCCAGGAGCUUCUCCAGUGGAGGAUCGGUCUGAGUGGAUCCCGAGAACUUUUCCAGUGGAGGAUCAGUCUGAGUGGAUCCCAGGCACUUUUCCUGGGAAGGAUUCUCCCAGUGGAUCCCAAGAGUUUUUCCUGGGAAGGGUUGGUAUGGAGAGAUCCCAGAGC